AACGCACCUUGCACCUUUUGGUAUUCCAAAAGGUACACCUGUUUGAGUGUCAUGAAAAUCUCUCAUCAAAUUAAUUUUUGGUGGAUGUUGAGUGCUGCUGUUAUCUAGCUCACUUUAAAUAUAUAAGUUCUUUCUUAUGUUUGUUGGAUUGACUUGGUGUAAUAUUUAUUUUAUCAUCAAGGAAAGUAGAAAUACUUGCCAACAUUUUUAAUUUAAGGACUUCUAAAUGAAUUAUUUUCUUACUUACCUUUUAAGACCUCAAAUCAGGUGGGACUACCUGCUGAACUUAA
rnacentral:misc_RNA from 1 species